GCUUAACACAUGCAAGUCGAGGGGUAACAUUGUGCUUGCACAGAUGACGACCGGCGCACGGGUGCGUAACGCGUAUAGAACCUACCUUUUACAGAGGAAUAGCCUUUAGAAAUGAAGAUUAAUGCCUCAUAGUAUUGUAGACUGGCAUCAGUUUAUAAUUAAAGAUUUAUCGGUAAAAGAUGGCUAUGCGUCCUAUUAGUUAGUUGGUAAGGUAACGGCUUACCAAGACAGCGAUAGGUAGGGGUCCUGAGAGGGAGAUCCCCCACACUGGUACUGAGACACGGACCAGACUCCUACGGGAGGCAGCAGUGAGGAAUAUUGGACAAUGGAGGAGACUCUGAUCCAGCCAUGCCGCGUGUAGGAAGAAUGCCCUAUGGGUUGUAAACUACUUUUAUACAGGAAGAAACACUGGUAUGUAUACCAGCUUGACGGUACUGUAAGAAUAAGGACCGG
rnacentral:rRNA from 1 species